AAUAUUGGACAAUGGGGGCAACCCUGAUCCAGCCAUGCCGCGUGUGUGAAGAAGGUCUNCGGAUUNUNAAGCACUUUAAGUUGGGNGGAAGGGCUUUAGGCUAAUACCCUGAAGUUUUGACGUUACCGACAGAAUAAGCACCGGCUAACUCUGUGCCAGCAGCCGCGGUAAUACAGAGGGUGCAAGCGUUAAUCGGAAUUACUGGGCGUAAAGCGCGCGUAGGUGGUUCAGUAAGAUGGGUGUGAAAUCCCCGGGCUCAACCUGGGAACUGCAUCCAUAACUGCUGGGCUAGAGUACGGUAGAGGGUAGUGGAAUUUCCUGUGUAGCGGUGAAAUGCGUAGAUAUAGGAAGGAACACCAGUGGCGAAGGCGACUACCUGGACUGAUACUGACACUGAGGUGCGAAAGCGUGGGGAGCAAACAGG
rnacentral:rRNA from 1 species